rfam:Ovis aries breed Texel chromosome 11, whole genome shotgun sequence.
UCCCUAAUGUCUCAGAUGGCAAAGAAUCUGCCUACAAUGCAGGAGACCCAGGUUUGAUCCCUGGGUUGGGAA